rnacentral:ncRNA from 1 species
GAAAAGGCACACUUAUUGAAAAAUAAGGCCGCAAAGUUACAGGUCUAAGGCAAAUAUCUACGAUUUGCUAUGACGGCUGGAUUGCCUA